GUGUGGAUUAAUUUUCAAUUACAUUCAAUUGUUGGGACUUGGGAGAGAGCUAUUGUGGUCUUCUCCACUUCCAUCUUCUCCAAGUAAGUAGAGCUAUGGGAAACACUGAAAUUACUUUCUACUAUGUUGUCUGGGAGAUUUCUGGUUCACUCAGUCAUGGUCACCAUCAGAGAUUUCGAGGAAGAGAUGCCACCCACAGUUCAACUUGGAGAGAUUUCGGAAGAGGAAUUGAUGGGUCUGAUUCAAAGAAGAUGGCAAUCAACGGUCAGAUCUAUCAGUGCAGGGAAGGUUUUUGCUAGCCUGACUUUAGAAAUGGAGGGCUUGGAAGUUCAAUAAGGUUUCACGGUCGGAGGUGGGACUCGAGCUGCUGUAACAAAAAUGGAUGAGUUCAGUUUUUGAGGAGCAGCGCAAGACGAUGGAGUUUAGGAGAUUGAAGUUGUUUUGAUGGAGGAAGGAGAUUCUCUUGUAAGGAGAUGGGAGGACCUUGAUACUGAUCUCUUGUUGAAGAUACUCCAGUUUUUUGACCUUUUUGAGUUGUCUGCUGGAGUUGCACAUGUUUGUAGUACAUGGAGAUUGGCUUGUUGCGAUCAACUUCUCUGGAAGACGCUGGACUUGUCGGUACUAAAAUCAAAUUUCAUCAAAAUCCCGUUAGUGCCGUACGUAUAUGUUGACUCAGAGUCUGAUAAAACAUUGACCCGCCUCCUAAAGAUUUGCUUGAAUCUCAGUCGUGGCAACAUACUAACAUUGAUCUUCCAUUACAAUUUGUACGUCUGCAACGACCAGUUGACUUAUACUGCUGAGAGGUGUCCACGUCUUAAGCGUCUUGUUAUGCCUGCUUGGAACAGAAUACAAAAGACAGGGAUAUGCAGGGCUAUUCGUAUCUGGGAAGAUCUUGAAUCACUGACAAUGCCUAGUAUAGCAAACCCUCCAUUUGUCAUGGAGGAAAUUGCAAGGAGUUGCAAAAAUUUCGCUGAGCUCAAGAUUAUGGGGCCCUGUGAUAUGUUGUUUGCAUCUGCACUGGUAUCUUUUCUUCCAAACUUGAAAGUGUUGAGUGUGAGGUGCACAGUGUUAUCUAAAACUGUCUUGGUUACUAUCUUGGAUGGGUUAAAAAAGUUGGAAGUGCUCAACAUAUCUCAUUGCGUAAUUACUGAAGAUCCUCCACCUGCACCAAAGAAAAUUCUGGCCAAGCUUGAUGAAUCAGUUCUCGAAAAAGUGUCUAGGUUACACAAAUUCCUAACCUGCAUGAGUGACUCAUGCAUCAUGUGUCAGCGCACUCGAAAUGAUGAAGGGCUGAUGAGGUGGUAUAAGUAUGAAGAAGACAUCUGGAAAAUGGAUGAGAUAGAUUUAUUUGGGGUUCGAGGGGAAUAACGGGUGAAGACUACAACAAAGUUGCUUGACAGAGCUAUGGGUGGUUCAUAUAGAGAGGUUUAAUGCCUUUUGAAGAGGAACAACUGUCGUUGGGUUGUUGGUGCCAUUUACUCUUCCUCUUAAGAAGGACACGUGCGCUAUGAGUAAUUUGAGCAAACCACGUGUGCUGCACAAAUUCAGCUAUAGUAGUGAGCUAUGUUGCUAGGACUCUUCAAAAAUGUAAAGGGGUGCGUGUUGGAUUCUCCAAAAGUAGUGAGUACUUCUUUUUUUAUUCUUUUUUGGCUGAGAAUAGUAGUAGUACUUCAGUCUCUAUGCUUUGCUUUCUUUUGUUCUUCAAUCUUUCAGAAAUUAUUUGUUGAUUGGUCAGUGGUUCUUUGUGUUUCGUGUAACCUUUUAAUUCUCAAAGGUAAGGAGGAAGUUACAAUGCGCUCCACCAUAUUAGCCUAUAACAGUUGUUUGACGACACGAAGCAUUAGUAAUGAAUUAGUGGUGAUUGAAUUGAUUAACAAGGACAAAAAAAACUACUGCAAAUGUAUAGGUUUCAUAUAUUUUUUGUUCUCUCUACCAACAUGUCACUGACGGUACAUCCCGUUGUAUUCCAUUGACCUACUGUUUUAAAUUAAUAUGUGCCUUAUUUCAGUUCUGAGUAAGCAAGUUAUUAGACCAUUGAGUUGGUUAGUUGUUGGUCUAGAUAUCUAUGUUAAUUUCCAAUUCACUAAAAAUACCCAGAGGUUUUUGGUAGUUGAUGGUACUAAUUUAUCUAUUCAAAAGCACCAAAUCCUUUAGUUAUUUUUUAUCAACUUCAACUUGGUAUCUGCUGUCUAAUUAUAUACCAAAUAUGUUUUCUGCAACUUCGUCAGGUACAAUAUUACUUUUUGUUGAUA